rnacentral:rRNA from 1 species
GUGUGGCGCGGUAGCGAAAGCGAGUCUUAAUAGGGCGAACCAGUCGCAGGUGGUAGACGCGAAACCAGGUGAUCUACCCAUGGCCAGGUGGAAGGGGAUGUAAAAAUCCCUGGACGACCGAACCCACUAACGUUGAAAAGUUAGGGGAUGAGCUGUGGGGAGGAGUAAAAGUCUAAUCAAACCUGGAGAUAUCUCGUUCUCUCCGAAAUAGCUUUAGGGCUAGCGUCGGGAAACUACCUUACGGGGGUAGAGCUACUGAUUGGGGAUGGGGGGCUACCAGCCUACCCACCCCUACCAAACUCCGAAUACCGUAAGGACUAUCCCGGCAGUCAGACUAUGGGCGAUAACGUUCGUGGUCAAGAGGGAAACAACCCAGACCGUCGGCUAAGGUCCCUAAAUCAUACUGAGUUACUAAGGAAGUCUAAUUGCUGUGACAAUCAGGAUGUUGGCUUAGAAGCAGCCACCAUUUAAAAAGUGCGUAAUAGCUUACUGAUCGAGCAGUUGGGUGCCAAUAAUGAACGGGAAUAAGUAUGAUACCGAAGCCGCGGAUGCGUUGGAUGUCGGACCAUGUACCUUUUUGUGGUAUGUGGUUUGGCAAUGCAGCAUAAACCUUGUACAUUUAAGGGUUUAUGGUCUGAUAUCCAAUGCGUGGUAGGAGAGCGUAGCAGUCAGCGUCGAAGCGAUACGGAAACGAGUCGUGGAGCGGCUGUUAGUGAUUAUGCCGGCAUGAGUAACGAUAAAGCAGGUGAGAAUCCUGCUCGCCGAAAACCUAAGGUUUCCUGGGGAAGGUAAAUCCGCCCAGGGUUAGUCGGCCCCUUAGUCGAGGCUGAAAGGCGUAGACGAUGGACAGCAGGUUAAUAUUCCUGCACCAUGUAUUGAAGGUUAUAACUGUGGGAGUGACGUAGUAAUGAAGGCUGGAAGCUGAUUAGUCGUGGCUAUUGUGCCUGAGGAGCCGUUGGUAGGUAAAUCCGCCAGCAUAAAGGCUUUGAUGGACCGCGAGGGGCGCUUUUGAUCCCCGAGCAGCUAAAGUUGCUACCAAGAAAAACUUCAAACAGGACGACAAUGCAUGACCGUACUAAAACUGACACAGGUAGGUGAGGAGAAUAUCCUAAGGCGCUCGAGAAAACCGUCCUUAAGGAACUCGGCAAAUUGACCCCGUAAGUUCGCGAUAAGGGGACCCUCCAGGUACAUUUAAUUUAUUAGGUGUAUGCUGAGGGCACAGAAAAGUGGCUCUGGCGACUGUUUACCAAAAACACAGUUCUCUGCUAACACGUACAGUGGAUGUAUAGAGAAUGACGCCUGCUCGGUGCCGGAAGGUUAAGGGGAUGGGUUAGCUCUUCGGAGCGAAGCUCCUAACUGAAGCCCCGGUAAACGGCGGCCGUAACUAUGACGGUCCUAAGGUAGCGAAGUUCCUUGUCGGGUAAGUUCCGACGUGCAUGAACGGCGUAACGACUGGAGCACUGUCUCGAGGACGGACUCGGUGAAAUUGUAGUUGAGGUGAAGAUACCUCAUACCCGCGGCAAGACGGAAAGACCCCGUGAACCUUUACUGUAGCCUGGUAUUGAUGCCUGGCAUAUCAUGCGUAGGAUAGGUGGGAGGCUGUGAUCUGGCUUUUUCGGAAGUCAGGGAGCCAUCCUUGAAAUACCACCCUUGCUAUGUUAGUCACCUAACCGCGACCCGUGAAUCCGGGCGUGGGACCGUGCUAGGUGGGCAGUUUGACUGGGGCGGUCUCCUCCUAAAGAGUAACGGAGGAGUACAAAGGUACCCUCAGCGUGGUUGGCAAUCACGCAAAGAGCGUAAAGGUAUAAGGGUGCUUAACUGCGAGACUGAUAGGUCGAGCAGAUGCGAAAGCAGGUCUUAGUGAUCCGGUAGUCCCGUGUGGAAGGGCUAUCGCUCAUCAGAUAAAAGGUACUCCGGGGAUAACAGGCUUAUCGCCUCAGAGCGUUCAUAGCGGCGAGGCGGUUUGGCACCUCGAUGUCGGCUCAUCACAUCCUGGGGCUGUAGGAGGUCCCAA